rnacentral:rRNA from 1 species
UUUGACGCAUCACACACCAGUGAUGAUGACAGUCUCAUCAAGUUUGAGGGAAGAGUGAGAGUGCUGACGAGCGGCGGACGGCUGAGUAACACGUAGGAACGUACCCCAAAGUGAGGGAUAAGCACCAGAAAUGGUGUCUAAUACCGCAUGUGGCCUUCGGGCUAAAGCUUUAUGCGCUUUGGGAACGGCCUGCGCAUGAUUAGCUUGUUGGUGAGGUAAUGGCUCACCAAGGCUAUGAUCAUUAGCUGGUCUGAGAGGAUGAUCAGCCAGACUGGGACUGAGACACGGCCCAGACUCCUACGGGAGGCAGCAGUAGGGAAUUUUCCACAAUGGGCGAAAGCCUGAUGGAGCAACGCCGCGUGCAGGAUGAAUGCCUUCGGGUUGUAAACUGCUUUUAUAUGUGAAGAUUAUGACGGUAGCAUAUGAAUAAGGAUCGGCUAACUCCGUGCCAGCAGCCGCGGUCAUACGGAGGAUCCAAGCGUUAUCCGGAAUUACUGGGCGUAAAGAGUUGCGUAGGUGGCAUAGUAAGUUGGUAGUG